GGACCUCCUACGGAGUUGCCACCCUUCCCCAGGCAUGUUAUCUACGCGACCGUUGGGGGCAUCUCGUGAGAGACUGUCCCCAGAUUGCCCACUCUAGACACACACCAGAGUUAAACGCCAACACCCCCUAGAGAGUGGAUCAACUGGGGGUGCAAUCGACACGGUCCCAACACAAUUAGGCGAUAUUGGUGAGCGAGUGACCCCCACGCAGAUGCCGACAUCAACAUCCAAGGACGCGGCAACUGCGAGCGACUGGCUGUGGGAGCUGGUGGUAGGAAUAAACAGGGGCCUGGCCGCUGGUGGAAGGGCAGGUAAUCGGGCGGCUUACUCGGAUUCUGUAGCCUCGCUCGUGAGCACAGCACACUGCAACGUGGUCGGGGUUAACGUGGGCCACCUAAAGGCCCCGGACCGUGCGCUGCACACUGCGAGUUGAGCUGGGAUGGGACUGCUGGGGAGGGUCACCCUGGAGGUCCGUCUCAGACACCAGGUGUGUGACCAAGAGUUCUACAUCGAGCGUGUUGUGCCACGAGUGUAUUGCAGGUACCGACCUCCUGGAAAAGCUGGGGCUCAAUCAAUGUACAGCCCCACCAGCGAUGCACCACCGUGGAGGGCAGCCAGGAGCGGAUUACGUUCCUGCGACAAGAGCCGGAUCGCCCCCACUUCACUUCUGUGUCCGCUACCCUGGUGUCGGCGUCACCAUCGGGCAUCUCACGGAGAUGCUGUUGCUGAUGGCAACACCCUCCACCGACCCCGCACACCGAUCAUCAGGCCUGGAUGACGAUCAGCUGCGACAGGCCCAGCAGCGGGACCCGGACCUGGCGGCGGUGGAGGCAGCCCUGUGGGAGGAAAAAGUCAUCAUACAGGAACCCUGGAGUGGUUUGUAUGCCUGGCUGUGUGUAAAGAACGGGGUUGUGCAGAAACUAACUGAAGCCGGGCAGCCGGGGUGCAUCCGUGUUCCCGCCUAGGUGCGGCCCCAGCUGCUGCAGCUGGUGCACGACCAGCUGCUCAGGGGCCAUGAUGGGGAACGGCGCACUCGGGAGACCAUGCGUUGCCAGUAGCUCUGGCCCAAACUGACAAAGAUGCGGCCGCCUGGGUACAGGGCUGCCGCGCUUGUCAACAGUGUUGGCAGAAACCAGCAUGGUAUCAGGUGCCCCUGAGGCAAUUCCGCCUACAGGGGCCAUUUCUGCAAUCCCACCGAGGCAACUGGUAUAUUCUCGUAGCGGUAAGAAUAUUUCACAUGCUAUCCAGUGGCAGUAACCAUCCCCGCUAAGAUGGCCCUUGUGGUUGCCCGGGCAUUUAAGGAGCAUUACGUGCUUAAACAUGGGAUCCCCGAACGAGUCAUUACUGACCAGGGUAGUGAGUUCGAGGGAGAGCUAUUUCAGGCGCUGUGCCGGGAGUUCAGAAUCCAGAAGGACCAAAUCACGGCAUACCACCCCCAGGCAGAUGGUAUGGUUGAGCGCAUGAACCAGACCUGAGCCAGGAAGCUUAAAAAUAUCAUGGCCGCCAACCAGCAGGAUUGGGAAGGACACCUCCCCUACGCUCUAUUCACCUAAACCACCAUGGUGCACACUUCUACUCAGGCAGACCCCCUUCCUAAUGAUGUUUGGUUGGGAGUCUCGCUUUCCAGCAGAUCUGUUGUUCAGCGUGCCCCCACCACAACCCGAGGAAGAGAGCCAGCCUGUGGAGCACCUGAUGGGGACCCGGUGGGGUGCUCAUGGCUGGGCCUACCAACAGGGGGGGCGCACAUCUGCGGCAAGAGUGGGGUGCCCGCCCCCGUGAGGAGACCCCCUUCUAUUCAGCGGGCUCUAAGAUAUGGCUGCAUACCUCCCGCAUAGGAGCCCGACAGGUGGGGAAGCUGACCACCUACUUGCGCGGACUCUGGACCGUGGUGCGGCAGAUCUCCCGCUGGACGGUACUGAUCCAGGGCGGGGAGAGGGUCUGAGAGACGGUAGUCAAUAUCCGCUGACUAAAACCGUAGAGGGCGGCCCCGGCGGGGGAGGCACCCACCCUUCGGGUACCCUGAAACCCCCGAGCCCCCGCACCCCCCAUGCCCCCCAUACCCAAUGACCUCACGCCGGACCCCGGCCUGGCAAGGAGGUGAUGGGGGCGGCUGCACUUAAAUUCCUCUGCCCCUGAGUUUGUUCCCCAGCCAGCAGACGCAGGAGGACAGGAGGAGCCUCUGGAAUGGAAUAGGAGAUCGCCGCAGGAGCCUCGGACAGCUCAACCACGGCCCACAAAACCGGCAACAAGGGCCGGGCAAGUCCUACGGACUCCCCGGCGUUACUUGGUUGGAGCUACCCAGUCAGCCUGGGACGGGUACGGGCACCUCGGGGGGCUAUGUGGUGCCACGACCGUGGAGCAACUCCGCAAUCGCCGCAAUUCCCUUCAGGCUCCCACACUAAACACACACCCGCACGCAGCACACCCACAUAGUAUCCUGGUGGGGGAUUGCCUGGCACAUCGGAUUUAAUCUGAAGGGCCCCUAGAUGGAGUCCCACGGUUUCCCAGUGCCAGGAGAUUGGCCGACCCUCACAGGACAGGUUACACUGCAGUGCCCCUAAAUUGCCAUAACAUUUUAUGAGCGCAGAAGGAAAAGGUUCACUGGGCAAACUGCAAUAAGUUAUUCACCACAUUGGGAGAGGUUGACGGUGGAAUAUUAGGCAAAAAGAGCAGACCAGUAGACUAGAACUACUGGGCAUGGGAGAACAAUGGGUGGGCGGAGCAGCAGCACUCCCCCAUGAGAGAAGAAGUCAAAAGGAGCGGCAGCACAGGUAAGAGCCCCAUUGGAUGCGCGGUACGACGUCACCCUGGGCCUUUGAAGUUUAGAGCAUAACAAGAGCCAGGGAACGAUUUUGCUCUCUUGGCUUCAAUCUCCGGGCGGUCAAGAGGGGCGGUCAAAACCCUCUCCCUGCCGUCCUGCCUCUUCGAGCCGCUCACAGCAUCCGUGUGAUGCCAGCGAGUGCUGCUACGAGACAGUGAUAGGUCAAGUCUUCCCUCGUCCUCCUCCCUCCGACUCUCUCAGCAUCCGUGGGACGCCGCGUGUCCAGCUUCGAGGUACGUCGUAGGACGUUUGUGUGACUGGGUUCAUAGGCAGAGUUAGGCUAGGCUCUCCUCGCGAAAUAUUCCACCUCCAGGUAGUGUGUAUUUGCACCAUUAAUAAACUUCAGUUCAGAGUAUCGGU